ACUGGUCGAACUUGGCGUACAUUGCCCACUCGGUGGGGUCGCUCUCGUAGGCUUCCAUGAUGGCCUGCACCUCCUCUACAUUGACCUCAUCGCCGGCAAAGAGCUGGUGCAGGAUGCGGAUCAGAUCAGCCAGGGUCCGUGGCUUCAGCACUUCGGUCUGUUCCAUCUCGUGGGGAGCUGGCUGCGCGCGCGUCUCACUGCUGGGCUGCGGUGGAGGAGCUGAGCGAGCCAAGGAGCUGGGGGCGAGGGAGCCUAACAGCCCGCUAGACCGCUAAGCAGACACACACGCACAAACCCAGCAUUAGAGUGCCGAAACGUAAGGAUGUCGUCGCAGAGACAGCAAGAGACCCACCCCCAGGCCCCUGGCAGCGCAGUGGAUCCGGGAUCGCUGGAGACGCGGUGCACACACAAAUCAGGUUCAGAUCUGUGGGGUUCAUCCUCCCGGGCCCCUUUUAAGCGCUUGGAGUCACUAGGAAUGUACCAACGGCCCUCGGAGGGAGGACGAGGCGGAGAGCCACCCAAGAAAGGUGGCGGAGGCGGGGAGACCCUGCGGGCACGGCUCACGCGCACAUCCCCGGCUUCCCCGGGCUCCGCGCCUUCCCAAGAGCCCCGUUGUCUCCGGCGUCCCAGGGAUCGCGUGGGCUCCGCGCAAUCUCUCCCCCACUUUAACGGCGCGUUUUAGCCGCCCGGCCUAACGCCUCUCCCCGCUCCACCUCCGCCGCUGUGGUUCGCGACGCUGGGACGUAGACAAAAAGGGUCGGAGGAGAUGGCUGCGGGGACUGACGCUGAGUAAAGGAGGAAAAGAAAAGGGAAGGAGAGGGACACUUCUUCCAAAUAGAGAAUUGUGAGGAGCCUGCGAAAAUUGAGGAUGGAUUCCACUCCUAGGCCAGAGAGUGCCUGUUUUGUCGAUUGAAACUAUCCACGAUAUGCCCCAGGCUAGAUGUGAAACCAAAACGCCUAACCUUUUCUGCCUGGUGGACUGCCCUCUACUGGACUAUUUGAGGUAUUCAGCCAGCAGGUCAAUGUGACUAAAAAGGUAAACAUAGAGAUAAAUGUAAACAUUAAAAAAAAAGGAACCCUUUAGUAUAUUAACUUUUACCAUGAAAACAAUUUCAGUCAUUUUGAGAACUGACAAUGAAGAUGUUUAUACAGUCUUAGUCUCCUUUUCAACCUUGGAGGCAGAUCUGCAGCAAUAAUAGUAACAAGUAGGAGCAAUGGGUGUACUAUCAUGACCAUCUUUUAUGAUGACUGGUGCAUUAAUACAAAUCACAUUUUUCUGAGUCCAUUCAUGCUAUGGAUGUUUUCUUAUGCAUAAACAUAGAGUAGACACAUACUAAAUAGAUCACAUCUGUUAAGUCUCUUGCCACAAGCAUCAAAACUUUUCAGAGCUGUCUCUUCCGUGAAAAUCCAUUUCAUGUAGUAGCAAGUUGAUUUUCUUUGUGGUUCAUCCCCACGCCUGAGACUUGCAGUAAUGUAAAACCAGUUUACCAUCACUGCCAAAA
rnacentral:lncRNA from 1 species